UACGAAGGGGGCUAGCGUUGUUCGGAAUUACUGGGCGUAAAGCGUGCGCAGGCGGCUUUCCAAGUGCCACGUGAAAGCCCCGGGCUCAACCCGGGAGGGUCGUGGCGAACUGGGAGGCUUGAGGCCGGUAGAGGUGGGUGGAACUCCUGGUGGAGUGGUGAAAUGCGUAGAGAUCAGGAAGAACACCAGUGGCGAAGGCGGCCCACUGGGCCGGUACUGACGCUGAUGAGCGAAAGCCAGGGGAGCAAACGGG
rnacentral:rRNA from 1 species